GCCGGCGGCCAAAUGGGAUUUAUUAUUAUGCCUAUACUUUAAAUAUUGUUUCAAUUUCAAUCUCUCCUUUUUUUUACAAUUUUUAUUAGCUUCACUUUUGCGUAUGCCGGCCAGUGGUAGAGGGGGAUAGAGGCGGGAGCUACAGGAUUGUUUUAACCUUUUAGCGGCUAAUGUUACGUCCGGAAUUGAAGGACGAAGGACGGGCCAGCUCGAGGAGUAUCUCCAACCUACAAACACACACUUCGUAGAGUCUCAAGUAUUUGCUCAGCUGAGGUCGCUCGCUUCGAGUUCCUCGUUCUGGGGGCAAGUGACGUGUGCUGCUGCCCCCCGCCUGCC
rnacentral:lncRNA from 1 species